rnacentral:rRNA from 1 species
GAUGAACGCUGGCGGCGUGCCUAAUACAUGCAAGUCGAGCGAACAGACGAGGAGCUUGCUCCUCUGACGUUAGCGGCGGACGGGUGAGUAACACGUGGAUAACCUACCUAUAAGACUGGGAUAACUUCGGGAAACCGGAGCUAAUACCGGAUAAUAUAUUGAACCGCAUGGUUCAAUAGUGAAAGACGGUUUUGCUGUCACUUAUAGAUGGAUCCGCGCCGCAUUAGCUAGUUGGUAAGGUAACGGCUUACCAAGGAAACGAUGCGUAGCCGACCUGAGAGGGUGAUCGGCCACACUGGAACUGAGACACGGUCCAGACUCCUACGGGAGGCAGCAGUAGGGAAUCUUCCGCAAUGGGCGAAAGCUUGACGGAGCAACGCCGCGUGAGUGAUGAAGGUCUUCGGAUCGUAAAACUCUGUUAUUAGGGAAGAACAAAUGUGUAAGUAACUAUGCACGUCUUGACGGUACCUAAUCAGAAAGCCACGGCUAACUACGU